CCUACGGGUGGCAGCAGUAGGGAAUUUUCGUCAAUGGGCGCAAGCCUGAACGAGCAAUGCCGCGUGAACGAGGAAGGUCUUCGGAUCGUAAAGUUCUGUUGAAGGGGAAAAAGAGCGGAGAGAGGAAAUGGUCUCCGAUUGAUAUUACCCUUCGAGGACGUCACGGCUAACUACGUGCCAGCAGCCGCGGUAAUACGUAGGUGGCGAGCGUUAUCCGGAAUGAUUGGGCGUAAAGGGUGCGUAGGCGGCCUGCUAAGUCUGGAGUGAAAGGUACCGGCUCAACCGGUACAGGUUCUGGAAACUGGCGGGCUAGAGAGCAGGAGAGGGCGGUGGAACUCCAUGUGUAGCGGUAAAAUGCGUAGAUAUAUGGAAGAACACCAGUGGCGAAGGCGGCCACCUGGCCUGUUGACUGACGCUGAGGCACGAAAGCGUGGGGAGCAAAUAGGAUUAGAUACCCGAGUAGUC
rnacentral:rRNA from 1 species